AGAAAUAGACGAUAAAAGUAAAUAAAAAAAAAAGAAAACGCUUCAAAAGCUUUAAAAAUAUGUGAUAAUUUUUUUUGAAAUUUGAAAAGAUGUAAAAAUAAUUUCAAAUUUUGGUAGAACAAAUCCGCAUUUAAUCCAAAGAUUAGUCGGUUGCGUGCAUUUGAACAGAGAAUUCAAAAAAAUUGAAACAAGAAAAGGCAGUCUUGUAGUCCAUAACUUUUCUUGCCUUUCCAAACUGGACUGCCUAUAUAAAUCUGCCAACCUUUCUUCGCAUAUCGCCAAAUUAUCUUCCCAUUAAUCUGCCAAACAGUCGCUAACCUUUCUUCGCAUGUCGUCUUCCAUUUUGCCACACUGCUCUCACCGUCCGCCAAUAGCAUCGCUGCUAUCAAUAUUCUACUGCUUUGAGGUGAAAGAAGUUGAGCGUGGCGCCAUUGUGUACUAUAACUGUACGUAAUGCAAAGAAUAAUAUCUCCGAAUUAGAUGAGUAGUAAAGAGAUCGCCCCAUCAAAAUCCAUCCAUCCAUCCAUCCAUCCAGCACAAAAUAAUAUUGCGGAAAUAGACGAUAAAAGUAAACAAAAGCUUUAAAAAUAUGUAAUAAAUUCUUUUGAAAUUCGAAAAGAUGUAAAAAUAAUUUUAAAUAUUGGUGUAACAAAUCCGCAUUUAAUCCGAAGAUUAGUCGGUUGCGUGCGUUCGAACAGACAAUUCAAAAAAGUUAAAACAAGAAAAGGCAGUAUUGUAGUCCAUAACUUUUCUUGGCUUUCCAGACUGG
rnacentral:lncRNA from 1 species